rnacentral:rRNA from 1 species
UACGAAGGGGGCUAGCGUUGUUCGGAAUUACUGGGCGUAAAGCGUGCGCAGGCGGCUUCUCAAGUCAGGGGUGAAAGCCCAGAGCUCAACUCUGGAAUUGCCUUUGAGACUGAGUGGCUUGAGUACGAGAGAGGUGAGUGGAAUUCCCAGUGUAGAGGUGAAAUUCGUAGAUAUUGGGAAGAACACCGGUGGCGAAGGCGGCUCACUGGCUCGUAACUGACGCUCAUGCACGGACA